GAUGAACGCUAGCGGCAGGCCUAACACAUGCAAGUCAGGGGCAUCAUGGCGUAGCAAUACGCUGAUGGCGACCGGCGCACGGGUGCGUAACGCGUAUGGAACCUACCCACCGCAGGGGGAUAACCCGCCGAAAGGCGGACUAAUACCCCAUGGUUCCCCGACCCUGCCUGGGUUGGGGGUAAAGCCUACGGGCGGCGGUGGAUGGCCCUGCGUGCCAUUAGCUGGCUGGUGGGUAACGGCCCACCAGGGCGACGAUGGCUAGGGGGUCUGAGAGGACGAUCCCCCACACUGGUACUGAGACACGGACCAGACUCCUACGGGAGGCAGCAGUGAGGAAUAUUGGUCAAUGGGCGGAAGCCUGAACCAGCCAUCCCGCGUGCAGGAAGACGGCCCUAUGGGUUGUAAACUGCUUUUCCAGGGGGAGAAACUUUCCGAUGCAUCGGGAUUUGACGGUACCCUGGGAAUAAGCAUCGGCUAACUCCGUG
rnacentral:rRNA from 1 species